AGUGAACGCUGGCGGCGUGCUUAACACAUGCAAGUCGAACGAGAACGGGCUAUAGCUUGCUAUAGUUGUCAGCUAAGUGGCGCACGGGUGAGUAAUGUAUAGGUAAUAUGCCUCUUACUAAGGGAUAACAAAUGGAAACGUUUGCUAAUACCUUAUACUCCUUAUUAACAGAAGUUAAUAAGGGAAAGAUUUAUUGGUAAGAGAUUAGCCUGUAUUGUAUCAGUUAGUUGGUGGGGUAAUGGCUUACCAAGACUAUGACACAUAACUGGUUUGGGAGGAUGAUCAGUCACACUGGAACUGAGACACGGUCCAGACUCCUACGGGAGGCAGCAGUGGGGAAUAUUGCACAAUGGACGAAAGCCUGAUGCAGCAACGCCGCGUGGAGGAUGACACAUUUCGGUGCGUAAACUCCUCUUAUAUGAGAAGAUAAUGACGGUAUUAUAUGAAUAAGCACCGGCUAACUCCGUGCCAGCAGCCGCCGUAA
rnacentral:rRNA from 1 species